CAUCUCAGAACACGACUGGUUGUGGUCGAGGAUAUGGUUUGGGAAACCAUAUCAUACAUACCGACAGGGAAACGGUGUUCGACACACCUCCGGCUAGCUGCUGUGUGAGGCUAACGCUAACGAAAGAAUGCAUUCUUCACAUCAUAAGAGGCAAGAAAGAUGAGAACAACAGAGAGAUGGAGGGCUGAAUUCUCUAUGGGUCGAGUCAGCUGGACGUAUUCACUAAAGCCUUACACCAAACCUGAAGGUGCCUUUCUAUGUGAGACACUGUUUAAUGAGGAAUAUUUGGGGGAAAUCUCUUGAAGAAUGUUUGGAGAAGUGUGGAAGAAGACUACACCUCCAGCCUCAGAAGCAAAUUUUUGGAAAGACAAG